rnacentral:rRNA from 1 species
ACGGCUCAGUUAACACGUGGACAACCUACCCUGAAGAGGGGGAUAACCCCGGGAAACUGGGGAUAAUACCCCAUAGACUAUGGAUGCUGGAAUGCUCUGUAGUUCAAAGGUCCGCCGCUUCAGGAUGGGUCUGCGGCCGAUUAGGUUGUUGUUGGGGUAACGGCCCAACAAGCCUGUAAUCGGUACGGGUUGUGGGAGCAAGGGCCCGGAGAUGGAUUCUGAGACACGAAUCCAGGCCCUACGGGGCGCAGCAGGCGCGAAAACUUUGCAAUGCGAGAAAUCGUGACAAGGGAACUCCGAGUGCCUGUAAAAUCAGGCUGUCCGCCAGUGUAAACAACUGGUGAAGAAAGGGCCGGGCAAGACCGGUGCCAGCCGCCGCGGUAAUACCGGCGGCUCGAGUGGUGGCCACUAUUACUGGGCUUAAAGCGUUCGUAGCUGGUCUGUUAAGUCUCUGGGGAAAUCUUCCGGCUUAACCGGAAGGCGUCUCAGGGAUACUGGCAGACUAGGGACCGGAAGAGGUGAGAGGUACUCCAGGGGUAGGAGUGAAAUCCUGUAAUCCUUGGGGGACCACCUGUGGCGAAGGCGUCUCACCAGGACGGCUCCGACAGUGAGGAACGAAAGCUGGGGGAGCAAACCGGAUUAGAUACCCGGGUAGUCCCAGCUGUAAACGAUGCGCGUUAGGUGUAUCGGUGACCACGAGUCACCGAGGUGCCGAAGAGAAAUCGUGAAACGCGCCGCCUGGGAAGUACGGUCGCAAGGCUGAAACUUAAAGGAAUUGGCGGGGGAGCAC